rnacentral:lncRNA from 1 species
AGUCAGCACAUGGAAGGGGAACUGGAGGAGAACAUUAAGCUGAGAGGAGGUCCUGGUGGGCUGGGGCCAACUCCCCAGGAGCAGAGGAAGCAGCCAGCAGCCUGGAUGGGCAGAGGUGAGACCAGGGCUCCGACUCCCUCUCUCCCAGAAGCUGCCCGCCCCCUCUUCCCCCCUGCUUUUGCAAAGUUUUCUGAGUUCCAUCUGCAGUACUCUGACCUGAGGGCACCUCUACAGCUGGGCCCAGAGGGACUGAAGCUGCUACUAGCAUGGCACGGUCCUGGGAGCUUUGAGGACACCCACAGAGACAGACGGUGCACACCGAGGGUUCCGCUGCUCAGGAACAGGCAUGGAGAAGAAAGUUGCACUUAGAAGCCCAACAGGAGUUUUGCAAGACAAAAGUUUAAUGAAAGGAGAGAAGAGCACAGAAACUGAAGUUGACCACCUGCACUCCUCCUUGGCCAACCUCGACAGAAAUCUAGAAUUCAAGGAACCAUUGCUGUGAUCCAUCAAGUCAGCCCCAGGAAAGAGAGCAGAGCUGAGAGGGCUGGAGAGAGAAUCUGGAGGAGCAAACGGAAAAUACCUGACUGGGUACCAACAUCCAGGAGAGGAUCCCUGUGUGUCAAGGAUCCUCAGAGGGACAACUAAUGCAUAACAACAGAUAAUGGGUCCACACUCCUUUCUGCCUCCUCCUGAUCGCAAAACCCACUACACACAUGUAAAUGCACCACACACACACAUGCCCACUACACACAGAUAUAUAUAUAUAGAUACACAUCCACACACAUAGGGAUACACAUACAUAGGGAUACACAUACACACAUACAUACAUGCACACAUUGCACAUGUGCACAAUGCAACAUACAUGCAUGUACACAUAUAAGCACACAUACAUAUGUGAACACAUGCACACACACAUACCCACACUUAAUCAUAGUCUGCACAUGGUAUCACUGCACACUGCUCAGGCUCCUCCAGAUCAGUCAGAAAUUAUAGGAGAUAAAACCAACAGAAUUUAAACAAAGACAAGAAAGACCUGGAAUGAUGUGCAGACUUGUCUAAUUAUUGCUAUUUUUAGAACUCAUACUGCAAGUGGUAGAAAAGAAUGGGGGUGGGGGCUGCUGACCAAAGAGAUUGCUUCAUUAUUGGAAACAGAAGAUAAGUAGGCUGAAGAGGGUGAUUGGAAAGUUGAGAACAGGGAGGCAGUUCUUCCCCUCUCCCCUCCACCCCCAUGUCUCCCUCUCCCAUUCCAGGAGCUGAGCACUAGGAGAAAGAAGGGCACAUGAGACCAGAUGAUGGAAGCUGACCUGGCUUUCCACUCUGGCUACAGACUUUCUGGAUGUGUGACCUCGAAUAUGUUCCUGAGGGCCACCUCUAGCCUAUAAGGUGUCUUUGUGCAAAUAGAAGACACCCCUUUGCACAAGUAAAUAAGAGAAUAUUCUGGUUGGAUGCAGCAUCUCAUAGUUCCUGAUCUGGCAAACAGUGCAUGGCUGAAUUUCCACCCUCCCAACAGUACAUUUGUGCAGCAUCCCAGCUACCCAACCACAUGCAGCAAGCAGGUGUCACUUCACAUCUGUAGACCCCUGCUUGUCCUCUCCAUAAGUGAAGAUAAUAUCUGCAAAACAGGGAGAUCCAACACAGGAGACAAAAUGCAAGGCGAGAACCAAUAAUUAAAAAAAAGAAAAAGUCAUUCAAGGUCUUAGGGUGCAGGCCACCCAGGACAAAGACUGGGAGGAGCAUGGGUUCUCUGCCACAUGUGAGGGGGCAGUGAAGACCAAUUCUGAUUGAUAUCUUAGAGUAGGAAGUUGGAGGAUUUAGGGAUACCCAGUGACUGAAUUCUAGGUUACAUCAUCGCUAUCAUUAAUUUCUUGACAUAGAAGCUGACCAGCUCUCAGCAUUUCGUAAUCAUUGCAGAGUGCAGGCUAGGGGCUCUGGGGCUCCAGCCCUGCCAGUCUGUAAUUGAUGUAGGUUAACUCUAUUCUCCAGUUUCCUCAUCUGUAGAAUCAGGUAACUGAUGUACUUCUUUCACAGAGGAAUUACAAAAAUAAAACAGAAUAAUAUCUGUGAAAAAAAAAAAAAAAAAAAAAAAAAAAAAAAAAAAAAAAAAAAAAAA